AGGAAAUCUUACAUCUAAAAUGUAAGGAAAGUUUUACCUGUUCAUUGGCAUCAGCUAUCCAAAUUUUUAUUUUUUGUUUGCUUUUCAGUCAGUUAGGACAAUGAGACAACCUGGUAAUUUUUCUUUCCUUUCCUUUUCAAUGACUACUCUAUCUUCCUUCUGUUUCUGCAAUAGAACAAUAGUGGUACAUAAGUGUUUUCACACUCCGGGAAAAAUGUAGAUGACAUAUAUGCAUGUUUGCAUUGAAAUUUUGUGAAAAGAUUGCCCCACAAUCCACUUUCUGGAAAAUAUUUUUUCAAAAUGUUCGCAGUGGAAACCACUUGAAAGCAUCUCUUUAUUAUUCAUACCACUGUAAAUUUCUUUCUUUCCCACAUUCAGAACAAGUCUUGCACCAUAUGCAGAGCUAAUGGGAUUUCAUGGAGUGUUAAUAGUAAGACUGUAAGAAGAACUAAUACAGCAUUGUAUUAAUUAACAACUGUACGAAACUGCAGAGUGUGUUAGUGUAACCCAAAAGCAUGUAAGAUUUAUAUUCAAACAGCAGCUGUAUAAGCCUGGAUUUGACAAUACUAACACACACAGCAUCUCCUUAGGGCUCACAGAAAUUACACAGCUUCUCGUCCCCUUCAUAUAGGCACAGAUAGUGCUGGGGGAGGACAGAGUUCAUUUUGCAAAGAUUUUUGGAAUUUGAAAUUCUUCUUCAUUCUGAAUGAGACAAUUUUGAAAUUCUCUGUAAAGGAAAACCACACAACCGCAGACCUUUCCAAGCUGAUUAAAAUUUUUCAUUUGGACAAAAUCAAAUGUUUUUUUUUGAGUUCAACUUUUAAAGCAAUUUACAUUUAAAAUAUUUGUUAUUAUAACGCAGCAAAAAGUAAAUGAAAUAUGGCAUGUUCAAAAUUUUAGAAAUGAAUCCUAAUAUUAGAAUGGACUUUUCUGACUCUGUCAGUAUUUUUUUUCUUGUUUUAUUCACUUGGAAUGUAGAUCUGGCAAAACUUACCAGACUUUUUAAAGAGUUGCUUUAGACAAACCUGCAUGUUCUGAUGGAAAGGGGUUCUAUAACAUCCUCCACAUGACUGUAUGCACAAUUGUCUUUGUGAAAUAUUGUCAUCUGUGUUAGAUUAACUCACAUAGAAGCCUGAAGAUAACAAGAUCAGGGAACCUCUCCGCUGGAUUUUAGUACUGUUUGCUAUCCUUUGAUAACAAAUCUCCAGUUUUGUUUUAAUUGCGUAGCUCAUCUUCUCUAGCAAUAUGGUUGCAUAUGUUGAGAAUUUCCAAUUUAUGGCAGAGGGCUUCCUGCAGUCAAAUCUUAUCCAGUAACUGUUCUCUUAAUGUGCCAUCACUAAUUGUAGCAUUAAGGAAAACAACCCUGGUGAUUUGUUGAAUAUUCUGGCGUGUCAUAUAACCUAGAAACCUAUGGUUCCCAUGACACAGAUGCUUCUGGAAUGUUUUGGCUAAUUUUUCCAUUCUAAUCAACUGGUAAUGGGCAUAAAUUUAGCAUAUAAUGUUAAAAACCCUAGGUGAAUAUUUUGUUCUGGAAACGUCCCCCAGACUAAGUGCUUCUAAUUCCCUUUAAGCCACUACAAUGCUUUCAUUCUACCAAAACUGCUAAAAGCUGGUGCGGUGAUUGGAUGAAUAAGAAUAUGUGCAGAAUUGAAGGAAAACCAGUCACUUGUUUUAUAGGAAAGAGGCAUCAGCCCUAUAGUUAGCAACACCGAUUAGCAAUAACAGACAAAUAUUUAAAGGAUCUAGAUACGGAUUACAAAUUAAUUUGUUCUUCACCAUUUUUAUUUCCUGCCAGAGACAUCUGCCAUGGUGCAGAGUACUUGGAGACUGCUGGAUAACCUAAUAGAACCGUGUCUGUGCCAUGCAUAUCUGAAUGGUGUUGGUUGCUACAAUGGCAAGAGAACGGCAUUGUGGAAAUAGGGAGUGCAGGCAGUUUUGUCCUGUGUCCCUCAGCAGACUUCAUUCCCUACACAAAGGAGAGAAAUACCAUCUCACAAAAGGUGUCUGAGCACAUCAUUGCUGUGAUCUGAACCAGCCGUGCAACAUCCAAGACAGGUCUCAAAGGAUUUGCAGUACAGAAAGGAGCACAUGGCAACACCCACUGUAGAAGGGGAAGCAGUGGCCUAGAGCACUGUAUCACUGAGUAGCCAAGUUGGGAACCACACCUGAAUCAAUCAUAUUUUUGGUCAAAGCAGCCACUUCCCUACAAGUACGACAGAUGCCCAUACUAAAGCAAUUACUGAACGGGAGAUGCUGACUGGCUGGAAGAACCUGUUCAUUCUGGAUCUGUAAUGGAGCCUGUGAGGAGCUCAGCUUCCUGGUGUGGAAGAAGCAGCCACAGGAGUGGUCCCUUACUGGUUCUGUCAACGUGGUCCAGAACAGUGAAGAUUCAAUAUUUCAGUGACUAAGUGUGAUGAUGGCUCAAAGGAGGAUGACCUUUAGGAAGACAUGGCUACAAAAAGGUCAAGGACAGUCAUAGAGUCUUGUUCAAAGGCCAGGACCCCCCUGUGCUUUGCCACGUCCCUAAAGAAUGUCCCAGAGAUUUCCAAUCCAACUGACCAAUACUCUACCCAAGUCAAGAGUGGCUCCCGAUCCCCUUCAGCAGAGGUCUGAUCUUCAGCAUGUUCCUGUCCUGGAGAAGACAUAAGGUGGCUUAUGUCAUGAACAGCUCUGCCUCCAGUCUGCGAAGAUGUCUUGAAGGACAGGAUCAUCACCCACUUGUGAUGGGGACCAGUGUGGCUGCUUAAAUUGUCUCUUCUAGUGUAUGGUUGCACAGUAACUUCUAGGUGUGGGAGAAGCAGCUUCUCAGUGUUGGUGAUGGCUGUACUUGUGGUGGAGAAGGGAUUUCCCCUUUCUUGAGCUUGCAUCCAGGUAAGGCAGGCAGCACGUCAGAUGUCAGCUGGGUCAUUGACUUUUGGAAGAGAACCAGAUAUGAGAUUGAACAAACGUGAGAAGCUGUGAGUGCUGCUUUUGUAUCCAUAGCUACACUCAUCCAUGUGACUUAACUAAUAAGGUUUGAAGAGGCAAAGAUUGUAAGGAACUUAGAGCCUAAUUGCUGCUUUGUGAUGAAGUUUAGCAGUUCACACAGGCCAAAGUACCAAUUUUGGUCAGGAUUAUUUCUUUAAGAGCAGUGUCUGGGACAUCUGUGGCAAAGGCUCUGGUUAUACUAAAUAGUCCUGAGAAUGAAACCAAGAAAAGUUGGGUCUGCAAAAACGAAGGCAUUUAGCAAUAAAUAUUCCCUGAACCAGUGACCACAUGUCUGAAAAAUGAGAUUUAUGCAAAAUAGGAAGGGAAGUUUUAUAACAACACUCUUUCAUAAAAUAACAACAGUGAUGUAUGCACCCAUGUACACACACGUUCUUUCCAGAUAAGAUCAAACACUCCAAAGAUGAAACAUUUUUCUAUUUAUUUUUCUCAUGACUUUGAAAUAUAAUUUUUCUGGGCAGAAAUGCUGCAGAGAAUUUUUUCAGCCACUGCUGAGAGUGAUCUCUCUCCCUUGCCUGUAACAAUGCACGUACACCAGGCCAUUGCAGCCUGUAACUUCUCUUGCAUAUCCCAGUCCUCCUGCCAUUCAAGUCCUGCUCUCCUUGUUCCAUGCAUCACCUUCCAGGACUCUGGAAUACAUUUCCUCUAGAUGUUCUGUUGGUGGUGAUUUUAGCAGAUAAGAUAGCGGUAGGUAUGGGAGUGGAGCCAUCAGAGCAAUAGUGGGAACUGUUGGAAGGGAUGAGAUGCAGAAAGGAGAGAAAAUGGGGUAAAAAGAUAGAAAUGGAAGGAAGGAGAUGAGGGAAGGGAAAGGUAGAGAUGGAAGAGAAAGAAAAGAUAGAAAAAGUGAGGAUCCCAGAGCUCAGAUUCUUCCUCUGAGCCGUGUUAUAUACCGCAUAAAUUACAGUAAAUUGAAAUAUUGUUAAUCUAUAAAGGCUGUAUUGUUCUCUUUUUCACUUGGCCAACUACUAGUGACGUAAGCAGGAACUCUGCUCUGGGCUGAAGAAGUCUAGAGCCUAGCAAGCAAGCCUGGCGCCCAGACUGGGGCUGGAAGUGGGAUUUGGCCUCUGCUACAGAAAGACUUUGAGGAUUCAGACUUAGAGGAACCCAGGGAAUGUGAGGCUGCUGGGCAAGCUUCAGAUAGGAGCAUUUAGUCAGUGUUUCUUCUACAAAACCCAAUAAAAAUACAUCUUGAAAUCUCUUCCAGGAAGAUGUCAGAACUCUUCUGCGGAGUUAACAUGCCCAACGCAGAGACCAGCUUAGUCAUUACAGAAUAAGACAGAGGGGUCUACGUCCUGCUAGAAGUCCAUAUAUCCUGCAAGUCUACUAGGUGCUGCUGACUCCAUGAUGUGUAUAAAUCUUUGCAGACUCCAGGAUCCUGGCCAGCUGGAGCAGAGGAGGCUGCCAAGUCCCUCAGGUUGAUGGAGCCAGCAGGCUGUUCCACCUGACUGUCUGGAAGCAUUCUUUUGCUCUCUUGGGAGGUUCCCAGCGUGUCUCCAUUUCCUCUGAAAGAAGGUUCACCCAUGAUUGACAGCAUCAGUGUCAGGUCUUCUUUCCAUGGGUGCUGAGGCUGCAAAACCCAGAGAUCCAUGGCCCUUCUUUGUACUGUUUCAGCCAUCUUCCAGCUGCACAAGGCCUGAAAAUUUAAAAAAAAAAUAGCUAAGUAGGCAGAUGAAAAGACAUAGGCUCCUGGCUAGUGCUAUAGCUGCUAUAUAGGGAUAGAGAGGACGAUCUCAAGAAUUCUUUGUACCUCACAGCCUGAUGAGGACAGUAACAACCCCUGGUUUUCUGCUCUUCUAAAUGAGAAGAACCUCUUCGUCAACAGCUGAGAAGAUCCUGAAAAACAGAAGUGUGUGAGGAGGCAACAAGGGGACAGCUGAAGUUUAUGUUGUUAAGUUUCUAUGCUAAUCUCAGGAAUGAUAUGCUGAAAAAGUAAAUCCUUUGCAAAUGCUCAUGAAUCUCUGGUAUUUGGGUGCUCUGCAGCAGAGAUGCAAAAACACAAAGAAGUUUUUACCAGUUGAUCUCACCAUGUGGCUCUCAUCUAGUGCUCUAUUCUGCCUGCUUCUUGACUGGGAUGGUGUUCAAAACAAGUGGGAUCUUCAGAAGUGCUCCGUAUAGGGGAGAGUAAGAAAAUUCUUCUUUCCCCCCUCUUCGCCAUCUAAGCAGCUUGCUGAAACUGCACCUCCCUCUCUGGGUGCCCUUCCCAAGUACAAAUGAAAGUUGGUUCUCCCCUACACUUUGAAACAGAGAUAAUGACUUGCACAUCAACACUGCUGACUGUAGUCAUGCCCUGCUGUUGUGCUGCCUAAUGGGGAGUGUGGUCCCUUCCUAUGUUUCAGUCCUGUUUUACACCCCAAGUCCUAUCCUAUGUGUGUACACAGCAGUGAGGUGCAGCCCCAGAAGUGGAGAGGAGAGCAGAGAAAAGAGGUGGAAAAAAGUGCCAGAAACAGGUCUAGGAAGUUCAGUGAAUGCAUGAGCAAUACCGUUAGUGUGUGUUUCUGAAAUGGGGUGAAAUGUGUAAUAUGUAGCAAAAAGCAGCUUUGCUGGUUCUGGCUGACUUGCACAGUAGGUCUCUUUUAUCCUCUUUUAAUAUGUGAGAUGUUCACCCUGCUGAGGAACUCUGUCACUUUUUGUUCAGCUCGCUGGAGCUUUUCACACACAGAAAAGACGUGCAACCCCACGCGCUUUCUCUCUUCCUUAACACAGAGGUUCCCAAACCAUGGCGAAGAUCCCUGACAGCCUUCUUUAUGUCUUUUGGAGCCCUUACACUUUUAUUGUUCAGCUUUGAAUAGGGAGUCUUUGAGAAGAGUUAGUUCUCCAGACUAGCUACAAACUUUUAGAACUUUACCAACCUUAAUGGGUCAAGGGCGAGGAGUGCUGUUUUGGCCAAGAAAGUGCCAAUUUCAGAUCAGAAUCUCAUUAUUUUCUCUUUGAUUUUUGAAAAGCAAAGAGUUCUGGUGAAGAACUGCAUGUAAAAAGGAGCUGAGGAUUAACGAAGAAGCAAAGAGGAGGUCUUUUUUUUUUUGCUUACGUGGAAAGGAACUAAAAAUGAAGCAGCUGCUUGUGGAAACAUGGAAGGUCUCCAGUAUAAUGAAUAAUAAGAACAAUUUCAGCUAUAUUUUCAGAGAUCGGAACAGUAUUUAUAUGCAAAUACUAUCUCAGAAGGUAGUGGAAAAAUCAGUUUUCCUAGCAUUGGCUGGAAAACAGAAUUUGCAGUUCUGGAAGACUUACGAUUUCUAUAGGAACCAAAUGAGAUGAAGUAGAAAGACUUAAGAGAGGUGAUUAAAAAGAGCUUAUUUUGUACUGAAAGCAAACUUUCUAGCUGAAGGACAUUAAUUACAUAGGGAGCAAAUGGCUUUCUAGCGAGUUAAAGGUGUCAGCUGCCUGCAGGGGUUAAGCCACAACAAAACCAUGCCAGUAUCUGCCCCUUAGUAACUCUGUGUAAGAAAGCCUCAGAGAGCUGAGCUAGAGAGCAGAGCACAGCCUUGGGGGAACCAUAGAUGAUGCAUCUGAUCUGGUGUAAAUCAAGCUUACCCUACCCAAAUUUUGGGGUCCUGUUAAUAUUGGAAUGCACACAAAAGAAACCUUACUUCAUAAAUCAAGAAAGAGCCUUCCCUAUUUUCCCUUGUUUUGAACGAAGGUUAGAGGUCGGUGGUGUGGGCAAAACAUUUCAACCACACUGUCUGAUGGUUGGGAACUUAAACAACAGAAAGAAUUAUGGAUGUUAUCUUGCAUUAAGGAUUUGCCUAAUUUUGUGUUUUGUUUUGGUUGGUCUAGCAAUAAUAACAUUGUGGUUUUUGUACUCACCUUCCCAAAGAGCAGAGCCAUCACAACCAAGCAAGCUCCUUCCUCUGCAGGGCGAUUUCCAUUUUAUUUUAUUGUAUUAGUGAGCUAAAGAAAAGCCCCUGCUUGAUAUCUAAUGAGGCAUUUUCAUCAAACUCUGCUCCUGACUGAACUCAUGUUAAUCUCAGCAAGAUUCACAUAGACAGAUGUUCUUGUGUUUCCGGACAGUGGAAGGGGAUCUUGUAAUUCCACCUUGCUGGUACGAGCUCCGUGGACACCACUGCAGGGACAGAGACCUUUCUGUAGAAAAUUCAUUGCAGGUUUGGAGCAUAAGAGCAAGUACAUUUAGCCUGAAGCACAAUUAAUUAAUGCAUGAUUAAAUCUUACUUAAAUGUGUUGGUCCUUCUCCCACUGAAGCGGAUGGCAAAUCUCCCACGGAGUUCAGCAAAGUGGGAUGGAAUCUAUACAGAAAUUGUUUUUCCCAGAACAACUUCGCAAUAACCAGUGGGUUUGCAAACUCCUCACUCUGACACAUUGAAACAAUUUGGGACUUUCAUUCCAUUUUGCUUUAAUUGGACUUACGCUGCAUCUAAGUCUUCCUAAGUGGGUUGCUCUGCCUAAAAUAUGUGCAGGCAUGUUUGCACUCUCUGAGGGAACGUGGUGGUUAAACUAGAAGGCGAGGUUAUGUUAGCAAGGAUAUUUUCUUUUUAUACUGCUUCCAAAGGCAACCCUGUUUUGGGCUCGCCACUCUGGCUUGACCGCUCUGUGCCUCUCCAUCCCAAAUCAUGCUGGGAUUUGAUGAUAAAGCACAUCCUCUUUCCAGGAGCCAAGCCAACCCCUACAUCCUAACUCACUGGUGUUCUGGUACCUUAGGCACUUUGUGGUCAGAAGGCAGACUGCAAAUGCGGGUAUUAGCCGUGGUGAUGCUGGAAUGUCCGAACCCUCUGUAGGAAGAGAAGUUUCUUAUAGAGCUGUUGUUGCCCAGUUGAUUGUCAGUUCCUUUGUUUUUAUGUUUCUCAGACUGUGCCAGCUGAGAUAGCUCUUAGCUGGCUCCCAGCACUUACACGGCCUGAUUUGGUUCACAUAUUCCAUAAAAGUUUUCCAUCUCUAACCAAGGAAUUUCAGAUCAGGGUAAAAAUGUGAGUAAAUCAGAGCUGGCAUCUGUCCCAGACAUAUCAAUUCCCUUAAUUCCCUUUUUCCUGUGGCUUUGGGACAAUCAAAAUAGGGAAUGUUUCCAUUGCUAUACCUUCAUGAAAGUACAAUAUGUGAAUGCUAUAUCCUGAGUGCAUCUAGUGUGUUUCCUUACCUUGGUCCUUACCAACUGCACAGCUUUCUCUGGCAAUUAUGUGAAACGGAGCACUGCAAUAGAGUAAACCUUUUGGCAGGGCUUGGCUCCAGGGAAGAUCAAAACCUCCAACGUGACAGUUAAUGAAACAAGGAGAAAGAAGAGGGAAGCAAUCAGUCCCAGCCAGCCAACACUAACAGAGUCCAAAGGCAGCUGGAGGUGCCAAGGUGUCUGCUUGCAAGGUUGGGAGAGGGUUGGAGGGCUGUACAGAGGGCUGCACCAAGGCAGGUUUUGCUCCACUUCAGGUGACCGAGGAGCAGUGGAGACAAGUCAUCCUGUCCAAGGGUGGUUGGCUGCACGUGUUGGUUGCAUGCUGUCUUUUUUUUAAGAUAAAGAGCAAGCCAGCAUUAUUCUGCAUCCCUAGGGCAGUGGCACUUUGUCCUGGAGCUGACCUGGUUGGAGUACACAGGAGCAUGGCGUGGAUCCAGGCAUAUAAUCUGAGUGCACAGGUAUUGCAAGGACAGCAUGAAGUGAGCAACACAGAGCACCUGGAGAGAGAUGACCAGUGCCCUUCAGUGGGCAGCCUAAAGGAGUAAAAGACAAAAUGUGGCAGUCUGCUGCACCACCAGCCAUAAAGCAGAGCAGAGAGCAAGGGCCUCCUGUAACGAGCUUAUUUAUCUCUAAAGCAGUGUUUUGCAGGCUGUGAUCCAUGGGUCUUUGGUGGUCCAUAAAACAUCCAGUGGUGGCUCAUGAAACAAUAGUGAACCCUCUCUCCUCCCCUCCAGUGGCCGCAGAAACAAGCACACAAGUUAAAUGGGAGAAAAUAAAAGCUACUAUAGAUUAACUUUCAAA